rnacentral:rRNA from 2 species
CGUUUAUUUGAUAGUGCCUUACUACUUGGAUAACCGUGGUAAUUCUAGAGCUAAUACAUGCUAAAAACCCCGACUUCGGAAGGGGUGUAUUUAUUAGAUACAAAACCAAUGCCCUUCGGGGCUUCUUGGUGAUUCAUGAUAACUAUACGAAUCGCACGGCCUUGCGCCGGCGAUGGUUCAUUCAAAUUUCUUCCCUAUCAACUUUCGAUGUUUGGGUAUUGGCCAAACAUGGUUGCAACGGGUAACGGAGGGUUAGGGCUCGACCCCGGAGAAGGAGCCUGAGAAACGGCUACUACAUCCAAGGAAGGCAGCAGGCGCGCAAAUUACCCAAUCCCGACUCGGGGAGGUAGUGACAAUAAAUACUGAUACAGGGCCCUUUCGGGCCUUGUAAUUGGAAUGAGUACAAUUUAAAUCCCUUAACGAGGAACAAUUGGAGGGCAAGUCUGGUGCCAGCAGCCGCGGUAAUUCCAGCUCCAAUAGCGUAUAUUAAAGUUGUUGUGGUUAAAAAGCUCGUAGUUGAACCUUGGGCCUGGCUGGCCGGUCCGCCUCACCGCGUGCACUGGUCCGGCCGGGCCUUUCCCUCUGUGGAACCCCAUACCCUUCACUGGGCGUGGCGGGGAAACAGGACAUUUACUUUGAAAAAAUUAGAGUGCUCCAGGCAGGCCUAUGCUCGAAUACAUUAGCAUGGAAUAAUAAAAUAGGACGCGCGGUUCUAUUUUGUUGGUUUAUAGGACCGCCGUAAUGAUUAAUAGGGACAGUCGGGGGCAUCAGUAUUCAACUGUCAGAGGUGAAAUUCUUGGAUCAGUUGAAGACUAACUACUGCGAAAGCAUUUGCCAAGGAUGUUUUCAUUAAUCAGGAACGAAAGUUAGGGGAUCGAAGACGAUCAGAUACCGUCGUAGUCUUAACCAUAAACUAUGCCGACUAGGGAUCGGACGGUGUUAUUCAUGACCCGUUCGGCACCUUACGAGAAAUCAAAGUGCUUGGGCUCCAGGGGGAGUAUGGUCGCAAGGCUGAAACUUAAAGAAAUUGACGGAAGGGCACCACCAGGGGUGGAGCCUGCGGCUUAAUUUGACUCAACACGGGGAAACUCACCAGGUCCAGACACAAUAAGGAUUGACAGAUUGAGAGCUCUUUCUUGAUUUUGUGGGUGGUGGUGCAUGGCCGUUCUUAGUUGGUGGGGUGACUUGU